UUCCAAUUUGUGAAUUCUUCUUUUCUGAUUUUCUGCGAUCAAUCUCAGUGCAAUUUCGUCUCCGACUCCUUUUGGGUAACUUUUUUUUUCUGUUGUUUUCAUUCUAGGUUUCUUUUCUUUUUCAGUUCCGGCCAUCUGAUUCAAUUACAUCCAUCCAAAUCAGUUUCUUUCAAUUCAAGUUUGAAUUUCAUUUUGUAGACUCCAAUUCUGUUUUUCAUUCAAUGUGUAUUUCGUUGAAUUGUAUUUUAUAAACUACAAUUCCUAUUUUGUUCUCUUUAUUCCAGGAAUUUCUUGAUAGUUGUUUUUUAUUCGAUUGUAUUUCAUAACCUACAACUUCUGAUCUGUUCUUUUUAUUCCAGCAAUCACUCAUUACCUGUUGUAAACCAGAUUUCUCAUUCUUUCAUGUUUAACUUCUUGAUAGUUCUUUUCUGUUAAUUCUGUUUUAUAAUUUCCAAAAUUUCAAUUCUACUGUAUUCAACUCUAAUCAAAUACUUUUUUUACAUUAAGCCCGUUUUGUUUACUUUUCAAAAGAAAAUUCUGCAUCAUGCAUUGAUAUUCUUCUUGACUUGGGCUAUCUUAAAAUCUUUAGAUAUCUGGAUUCUUCACAACAACGUCCUUCUUAUCCACCGGUUUCUUGAUGUAAGGUAGGAGAGAAAUUCCUCAUAGGUGAAUGAGGACUUGCGUCUUCCAGGCGAAAAAAUUCAUCCGAUCAAGUUUUACAUGUUCUUCAACUUGAUUAGUUGCUUCGCCGGAAUCGAUGUUGGUGUAGGAUUCGUAUUCCCAACCAUUACCGGAAAAUAGAAGAGAGAAAACGAAACCGUCGAGGUUCGUUGCUGAAGCUUGGAGAGAGAAAAAAACUUGUUGGGUAUACACCUAAUUACACAAAAGUGAUCUAAAUAUCUGAAGUUGAAAUGGAUUUGAAAAUUGAUUAAUUAUAGGUACAGUGGUUCUUGAUUAUUGAGGUACAGGGAUUAAUGGAACAACUCUGUUGAUCGAUAUGUUUCUAAUUGAACCCAAAUGUGGAGAAUUGAGGUCCAUUUCCGU
rnacentral:lncRNA from 1 species